GCACUUAAGUUGGUACCUGAUUUAGCCGAGCAAGAUAUGAUGUGAUGUUAUGGGAGGUUGGUACUUAAUGAUCGUUUGUUUCAAGCUUCGAUGGAGUUGCCCAUCACCAUGAGGAAGACAUGGUUGCUAAUGUUGCCUUGA
rnacentral:rRNA from 1 species